GACGAACGCUGGCGGCGUGCUUAACACAUGCAAGUCGAACGGAAAGGCCCUGUUCUUGUGGCGUGCUCGAGUGGCGAACGGGUGAGUAUCACGUGAGUAACCUGCCCUUGUCUUCGGGAUACCUCAUGGAAACAGGGGUUCUUACCGCAUAGGAGCUCCUGCAGCACGGUGGGUAAUGGAAAGAUUCGGAGGUUCGGGACGGACACGUGGCUUAUCAGCUUGUUGGUGGGGUAGUGGCUUACAAAGGCGUGGACGGGUAGCCGGCCUGAGAGGGUGACCGGCCACAUUGGGACUGGGAUAGGGGCCAGACUGCUACGUGAGGCAUCAGUGGGAGUUAUUGCACAAUGGGCGGAAGCCUGAUGCAGCGACGUCGGGUGCGAGAUGACGGCUUGCGGGUUGGAAACCGCUUUAGCGUGGGACGAAGCGUGAGUGACGGUAAUGGGUAAGGAAGCACCGGCUAACUACGUG
rnacentral:rRNA from 1 species